ACGCUGGCGGCGCGCCUAAUACAUGCAAGUCGAGCGAGAAGGUGUAGCAAUACACUUGUAAAGCGGGCGAACGGGUGAGGAAUGCAUGGGUAACCUACCCUCGAGUGGGGAAUAACUAGCCGAAAGGUUAGCUAAUACCGCAUACGUUUCCGGAACUUCGGUUUCGGAAAGAAAGCAAUACCGUGGGUAUUGCGCUCCUGGAUGGGCUCAUGUCCUAUCAGCUUGUUGGUGAGGUAACGGCUCACCCAAGGCUUCGACGGGUAGCUGGUCUGAGAGGACGAUCAGCCACACUGGCACUGCGACACGGGCCAGACUCCUACGGGAGGCAGCAGUAAGGAAUAUUGCGCAAUGGACGAAAGUCUGACGCAGCGACGCCGCGUGGGGGAUGAAGGUCUUCGGAUUGUAAACCCCUUUCGGGAGGGAAGAUGGAGUGGGUAACCACUUGGACGGUACCUCCAGAAGCAGCCACGGCUAACUUCGUG
rnacentral:rRNA from 1 species